AUUGAACGCUGGCGGCAUGCCUUACACAUGCAAGUCGAACGGCAGCAUGGGUGCUUGCACCUGAUGGCGAGUGGCGAACGGGUGAGUAAUGCAUCGGAACGUACCCGGAAGUGGGGGAUAACGUAGCGAAAGUUACGCUAAUACCGCAUAUUCUGUGAGCAGGAAAGCGGGGGAUCGCAAGACCUCGCGCUUCCGGAGCGGCCGAUGUCGGAUUAGCUAGUUGGCGGGGUAAAGGCCCACCAAGGCAACGAUCCGUAGCGGGUCUGAGAGGAUGAUCCGCCACACUGGGACUGAGACACGGCCCAGACUCCUACGGGAGGCAGCAGUGGGGAAUUUUCCACAAUGGACGAAAGUCUGAUGGAGCAACGCCGCGUGCAGGAUGAAUG
rnacentral:rRNA from 1 species